rnacentral:rRNA from 1 species
CCAGUGAAAACGCCCUAUAAACCACCAUGACUAAGAGGAGCAAGUAUCAAGCACGCACAUGCAGCUCAAAACACUUUGCACAGCCACACCCCCACGGGAAACAGCAGUGAUAAAUCUUUAGCAAUAAACGAAAGUUUAACUAAGCUAUGCUACACCAAGGGUUGGUCAAUUUCGUGCCAGCCACCGCGGCCAUACGAUUAACCCAAGCCAAUAGAGACCGGCGUAGAGAGUGUUUUAGAUCUA